CUGAAUAGGGCGCUUAGUCAGAUGCUGCAGACCCGAAACGAAGUGAUCUAUCCAUGAGCAAGUUGAAGCUAGUGUAAGAACUAGUGGAGGACUGAACCCAUAGGCGUUGAAAAGCCCCGGGAUGACUUGUGGAUAGGGGUGAAAGGCCAAUCAAACUUCGUGAUAGCUGGUUCUCUCCGAAAUAUAUUUAGGUAUAGCGUUGUGUCGUAAUAUAAGGGGGUAGAGCACUGAAUGGGCUAGGGCAUACACCAAUGUACCAAACCCUAUCAAACUCCGAAUACCUUAUAUGUAAUCACAGCAGUCAGGCGGCGAGUGAUAAAAUCCGUCGUCAAGAGGGAAACAACCCAGACUACCAGCUAAGGUCCCUAAAUCUUACUUAAGUGGAAAACGAUGUGAAGUUACUUAAACAACCAGGAGGUUGGCUUAGAAGCAGCCAUCCUUUAAAGAAAGCGUAAUAGCUCACUGGUCUAGUGAUUUUGCGCGGAAAAUAUAACGGGGCUAAAGUAAGUACCGAAGCUGUAGACUUGCGCACAACUUAGAUUAUUUAAGUUUAGAAUAUGAGAAACUAAGUUAUAUGUUUAGUUAUAUUUUUACUGAUUUUUAUAGAGUAAAGAUAGAAAUAAAACUUAGUAAAAUCAGUAAAAAUAUUCUUAGACUAAAGUUAAGUAGUUUAAGUUGUGUGCAAGUGGUAGGAGAGCGUUCUAUUUGCGUCGAAGGUAUACCGGUAAGGAGUGCUGGAGCGAAUAGAAGUGAGCAUGCAGGCAUGAGUAGCGAUAAUUAAUGUGAGAAUCAUUAACGCCGUAAACCCAAGGUUUCCUACGCG
rnacentral:rRNA from 1 species